GCAGUGGGGAAUUUUGCGCAAUGGGCGAAAGCCUGACGCAGCAACGCCGCGUGCGGGAUGAAGGCCCUAGGGUUGUAAACCGCUUUCAGCAGGGACGAACGUGACGGUACCUGCAGAAGAAGCCCCGGCUAACUACGUGCCAGCAGCCGCGGUAAUACGUAGGGGGCAAGCGUUAUCCGGAUUCAUUGGGCGUAAAGCGCGCGUAGGCGGCUUGUUAAGUCAGAUGCGAAAACCGGGGGCUCAACCCGCGGCCUGCAUCUGAAACUGGCAGGCUUGAGUCUGGUAGAGGAAAGUGGAAUUCCUGGUGUAGCGGUGAAAUGCGCAGAUAUCAGGAGGAACACCAGUGGCGAAGGCGGCUUUCUGGGCCACGACUGACGCUGAGGCGCGAAAGCUAGGGGAGCGAACAGGAUUAGAUACCCUAGUAGUCC
rnacentral:rRNA from 1 species